rnacentral:rRNA from 1 species
AUUGAACGCUGGCGGCAGGCUUAACACAUGCAAGUCGAGCGGAGCGAGGGUGCUUGCACCUUAGCUUAGCGGCGGACGGGUGAGUAAUGCUUAGGAAUCUGCCUAUUAGUGGGGGACAACAUUCCGAAAGGAAUGCUAAUACCGCAUACGCCCUACGGGGAAAGCAGGGGAUCUUCGGACCUUGCGCUAAUAGAUGAGCCUAAGUCGGAUUAGCUAGUUGGUGGGGUAAAGGCCUACCAAGGCGACGAUCUGUAGCGGGUCUGAGAGGAUGAUCCGCCACACUGGGACUGAGACACGGCCCAGACUCCUACGGGAGGCAGCAGUGGGGAAUAUUGGACAAUGGGCGGAAGCCUGAUCCAGCCAUGCCGCGUGUGUGAAGAAGGCCUUUUGGUUGUAAAGCACUUUAAGCGAGGAGGAGGCUACUUAGAUUAAUACUCUGGGAUAGUGGACGUUACUCGCAGAAUAAGCACUGGCUAACUCUGUGCCAGCAGCCGCCGUAA